rnacentral:lncRNA from 1 species
UCUCUCUUCGGCUGGUAACAGCCGCCCACCGUGGUGCUCGCCGGAGGAGCAGCAGCGACAAGCCGCGCCACCGUCGACAGCAGCAACAGAUGAGCGGGCUGCCACCGGCGCCCUCUAUCUCCCAUGCUCCAUCUUCGGCCGGACAACAGCGGCGGAGCCGCCGCCGAGCCCUAGCCUCCCUCUACCUCUCAACUCUACACCACAGCAAGGUAAAUCUCUCUCUUACCCGACUCAGUACAACGACUUAAAAAGAGAGGCAAACUCAGAAAAUACCUUUCUUUGAAACUCGAGCUCUUGUUUAGAACGAAAACAAUAAAUCUUCUUCAAAUCAUAUAUAUAUAUAUCUCAUAUAUGCAGAAUGGUGAUGGUAAUUAUAUACAUAUAUAUGUGUCUAACAAAUCCAUGAAUAUACUGUAUAAAAAUGUUAGGUGUAACUGAAAUUGGUUUGAUGACCAAGGUGUGUAAGUCAUGUGUAAAAUGGUGCGGGUAUAGAUAUUCAAAGAUUAAACCUUUAGAAGGACUCACACUUGCUGAAUUUCUCUUGAGUGUUUGCUUGCUUUGAUGGGAACGAUGGAUGAUGAGGAUUUUUCUGAAAUACAUUUGUAUUCUUCAACAAAUGCAGGGUGAAACAUGAAGAGGAUGAGGAAAAUUGAAGCUAAGAUUUACCUUGAAUGAUGGCAGAAAAAAAUGCAUGGAGUUCUCCUACUUGCUCUUCUCGUGGAGUUAGUGAAGAAUGGUGAAGUAGUUGCUGCCUUGAAUCAUUAAAGAAGGAAGAUUGAAAGUUGCAGGGAAAGUGUCGUUUGUGGAAGACAACUUUAGUGUAAAGUGUGAGUGGAAAGGUGGAAAGAGUGUGAGUGGGAUUUGUUAAGUGGAAAUUGAAAGAUUUGGCUGAUUUGUGAGAUUUGAUUGUCUGUAUAAAGAUAUGUAUAAAAAUAAAAUAAUCAUGAUAUAGAGUAGCUAUUAGGAACAUAAAAUACCGGGACUGUAAUAAUA